GUCAUGGUUAUGCAUUAGAUCACUGCCUUCAACCUCAGAGUACACUGCUUUUUGUUGCCAGUUCUCAAGAAGGAAAUGGGGGAGCAUUUGAAAUCUUGCUCCCCAGCUUAUAUCAUCAGUUUGGCUCAAAUCAACUCAUAUUUAAAAAAAGAAGAAAAUAGUACACUAAGUAGGAGCUUUAGUAAAGUUUUAUUUUAUCAACUUUAUUAUAGCUUAACUAAAGAUGCUACAAGGGGCACUUUAUACCUCAAGGUAAAACUGUUGUGUAUCACCACAGGGAAUAAACCCUCACUUUUUUUUUCCCAGGGAAUAUAUUUUGUAAGAGUUACUUUUGUUUAUGGAAAAGUUAAAGAUUAGAGGUAAGUAGAACUUUAAAAAAACAUUCAGUGAAAACAGGACCUAAGUUUACGCCAUUCUCUUUUCCUCCUGGGGAACAGGAAAGGAAUCGGGAAGCAAAAUAGUACUUCUACAGCCCAAGAAACUCAUGCUACCCUGGACUACAUAUCUCUGCCUGCAGAUAGUAUGCAAAUAUGAUAAAGAGAAUUACACUUUGAGUAGCAAACCAACCCAGGAUCCACAAGAAAAAUAUGUGCUAAAUCCUUCUUCAAUGUGGAAAAAGCGAUCCCUUCUUAAGUAUUUGCUUUGUCAAAUAAACUUGUACUCUCAUAUACUGGUUGUCCUUAGACCAGCACAUAAUUACAUAUCUCUAUACUACCCUCUUCUGAGUGCUCCUUGCUUUUUCUGUGAAGACACCACUCACAGGGUAUUCCUCCAGAAU